CGUAAUAACGCGCUCCCAUUUCUGCAAAUAUCAACCGUCCGUUGUUUCGCACCGGCAAAUGCCGAGGGCGCCUGUUUAAAAAAAAUCCCAUGACCAAGAGUUGUUGUUAUACAAGAUUUUUUUCUUCUUCAACCAAGGGCACUAGACGACUGGUUUGUACAUCUGGCUCACAGUUCUGAGGACCGGGGUUAAAAUUGCAUGUUCACCCCAUGUCUGUGUGGGUUUUCUCCAUUUCAUUUUUUUGUCUCACUGUCGCAAGUGUUAUCUGUGUGUGUAUUUUUAUUCUUUAUUUUCCUUUCAUACUUUUAUGUUACUAUGAUGCGGUUCUUUUGUGAUGCAGAAUUCUGGAAUGUUCCGAGGAGUGCCUAUAUAAGACAGUCAACAGAGCUUCUUACCAACACUCUGGGACAAGCAGAGAAGUACACGCUACACUGCAUUCUGCCUUUCAUCCCUGGACAUUUGUUGACUUGGAUUGACUAUUCAUGGAAGGAACCUUUGCCUGGUUAGUCAACUCUGGUGACUAUUUGAAGCUUGGCUCAACUACUCAGUCUUUGAACUUCUAUUUUGUGUUGUAUUGUUGUGUGUGUAAUUAAAUUGUCUUAAACGCAAUACAACUGCUUUGUCAUAUUUUGCUGGUUUGAGCAAGUUGAUUUUAGUCUAAAUUAACACGGAACACAAGUCAAAUCAGGCUGAACCUCUACUUUCAGACCAGUGAGGAUCGGCAAAAUUAUGUAAUUUUGUUAAAUGCCACAAUAAUGAGAGAAAUCAUUUGAGAGAAUUUAAUAUUUUCAUCGAGGCCAAAAGUUUACAUACAUUUCUUUAGUACCAAGUAGCAAUUCCUCUAAACUGCAUGACUUGGGUCAAACGUUUUGGGUAACCUUGCACAAGCUUCGGACAGUAAGCUGCUGGAAUCUCGGCGAAUUCCUUCUGACUGUACUGGUGAACUGUAACUGAGUCAGUUGCCUUGCUUGCACACGCCUUUUAAGAUCUGUCCACAAAUUUUCGAUGAGAUUCAGAUCAUGAGUUUUGUAUGGCCACUCUUAAGACAUUGAUUUUAUCCUCAAAUGAAGAACACCACUUUAACAUGUUGGCAGUAUGCUCAGGUUCAUUGUCCACUUGGAAGACUCAUUUGCACCCAAGUUUUACCUUCCGGGCUGAUGUCUUGAGAUGUUGCCUUAAUAUCACCUUGUAAUGUUUUUUCUUUUUGAUGCCAUCUAUUUUAUGGAGCGCUCCUUUUCCUGCAUUAACAAAACAGCACCACAACAUGAUGACCUCCAGACUUCAUAGUUGGGAUGGUGUUCUCGGGUCUAUAAGAUUCCCCCUUUUUCCUUCAGAUGUAACGUUGGUCAUUAUGGCCAAACAGUAUUUAUCUUGUAAAAAAAAAAAAAAUGAAAAAAUAAAAAUAAAUUGGUCUAAUUGAAGCAUCUUAGAACAUCCACAAUCACAUAUUUGCAAUCA